UUCUCGUAGGGACCACGGACUUGCAGCAAAAAGCAGCAAAAAGCACGGAGGAGAUUUCAAACACCAACACCAGGGACAGAAUACAAACAACAAGUGCUGAAUAUUGAUGUGUUACUGGUCCCUUUUAAAACAGAAGAGAGGGUGGGCAGCAUGUUGGCACUGUAGCUCACAGCACUGGGGCCCUGGUUCGGUUCCAUGCCUUCUGGCGCAGAACUAUGUACAGACAUGUACAGUAUAUACUGUCACGAAUGAUCAGCAGACCAAUUGGGAGGAUGGACCCAGUGCGGUACCUCAGGUGGUCAGGAGACAAAGGGGAACGACCCAAUAGCUUCUGAUCCAGGAGAGGGCUAGGUGAGUGACGUGGUCAAGGGUGAGUUCCAUAGUUCGUAUCCAAAAGGGCGUAGAAGAGGCUUCAGAUCCAGGAGGGGGCUAGGCGAGAGACGUGGUUAAAGGUGAGUUUAGUGGUUCGUAUCAUAAAGGGUUUAGAAGACUAGAAAUGGACA
rnacentral:lncRNA from 1 species